UAGCAUAUCAAUAAGCGGAGGAAAAGAAACCAACCGGGAUUGCCCUAGUAACGGCGAGUGAAGCGGCAACAGCUCAAAUUUGAAAUCUGGAGCCAUUUGGCUUCCGAGUUGUAAUUUGCAGAGGGAGCCUCGGAGGGCGAGACGGUCCAAGUGCCUUGGAACAGGAUACCGCAGAGGGUGAGAGUCCCGUAUCCGGCCGAUCUUGCGCUCCGUGUGAGGCCCCUUCGACGAGUCGAGUUGUUUGGGAAUGCAGCUCCAAGCGGGUGGUAAAUUCCAUCUAAAGCUAAAUACUGGCCAGAGACCGAUAGCGAACAAGUAGAGUGAUCGAAAGAUGAAAAGCACUUUGAAAAGAGAGUCAAACAGUACGUGAAAUUGUUGAAAGGGAAGCGCAUGGGGGCAGACUUGGACGCGGGGUUCAGCGUUUCUAUUGGAGCGUGUACUUCCCCGCGUGCAGGCCAGCAUCGGUUCCGGGGGCCGGACAAAGACGUUGGGAAUGUGGCUCCCCUCGGGGAGUGUUAUAGCCCGGCGUGCAAUGCGGCCACCUGGGACCGAGGACCGCGCCUUGUGCAAGGAUGCUGGCGUAAUGGCCUCAUGCGGCCCGUCUUGAAACACGGACCAAGGAGUCUAACAUCUAUGCGAGUGUUUGGGUGGCAAGCCCGGACGCGCAAUGAAAGUGAACGGAGGUGGGAGUCUGUUACAGGACGCACCAUCGACCGAUCCGGACGUCUUCUGAAGGAUUUGAGUAAGAGCAUAGCUGUUGGGACCCGAAAGAUGGUGAACUAUGCGUGAAUAGGGUGAAGCCAGAGGAAACUCUGGUGGAGGCUCGCAGCGGUUCUGACGUGCAAAUCGAUCGUCAAAUUUGCGUAUAGGGGCGAAAGACUAAUCGAACCAUCUAGUAGCUGGUUCGUGCCGA
rnacentral:rRNA from 1 species